GUUAACCGCUAAGCCACGGGCCGGCCCUGACGGGGUUUUAAUUCUGCAAGGCACUCAAAACAGUUCUCAGCACGCAGAAAACACUCGACAGCGUUACUCGUUAUCAUUCCUCACAAUCGCCCUUUCACGAAGGGCAGUACCCGCCUCCUUUCCGAUCAGAGGUGGACGCCUGUCUGGGGUCCCCCGCUGGGCUGUGAGUGGCGCGUGGCCCAGAACCCGGUGGCCUCUAGCCCGCGCAGACCAUGACUACCACCUUCCCAGUCAGAGGGAAGGCUCGGUGUGUCCGACAAAGGCCCCGGCCCUGGGAACGACCACCUGGAGCCCAGGGUGCCGGGACGGCCUUCCCCGCCCGCCGUCCCCACGCUGGGAGGGGUGCCCCCUCAACCGCCUUCCUCGGAACCUCCAAGGCCCCCUCCCCUAAAAGCCUUUCAGGUCCCUAACAGUGGUAAGGAAGAAGACAAAAUGAGGAUCGAGGAUCAAAGGAUGAAUUUCUGCAUCCGUUGGAGAAAAGAAGAGAAGAGACACAGAGAAGACGGCCAUGUGAAGACAGAGGUGGAGAUGGGAGUUAUGCAGCCACAAGCCAAGGGAUGUGUGGGGCUACCAGAAGCUGGAAGAAGCUAGGAGGGAAUCCUCCUGUGGAGGCUUUGGAGGGAGCACAGCCCUGACGAUACCUUCGCUUCAGGAUUCUGGCCUCCAGAACUCUGUGAGAAUAAAUUUCUGUUGUUUUAAGCCUUCUAGUUUGUGGUGCUUUGUUCCAGCAGGUCUGGUUAGAGUCAGGGGCCAAGACUCAGCUAACGUCCUGGACCCUGUCUGUGCAUGUCUCCCAGCAGCAUCCCUAUAUUCACCUGAUGCCGAGCCUCCUGCCUCGAACUCAAAUCUCAGCUGUCUUC